rnacentral:rRNA from 1 species
UACAGAGGUCUCAAGCGUUGUUCGGAUUCAUUGGGCGUAAAGGGUGCGUAGGCGGCGCGGUAAGUCGGGUGUGAAAUCUCGGAGCUUAACUCCGAAACUGCAUUCGAUACUGCCGUGCUUGAGAACUGGAGAGGAGACUGGAAUUUACGGUGUAGCGGUGAAAUGCGUAGAUAUCGUAAGGAAGACCAGUGGCGAAGGCGGGUCUCUGGACAGUUCCUGACGCUGAGGCACGAAGGCCAGGGGAGCAAACGGG